rnacentral:lncRNA from 1 species
CUUUAAUUACCCCACUGGACUCUGCUCUGUCUCAGAGUUGUAAAAUACAGAGUGGGGACAGACUGCCCGCCAUUUUCAGUGUCGCUAGGGAUGUUCUCGUGCUUUCUCAGUGGACCUUGCUCUGCCCAAGGCUGAGGUCACCUCCCCGUUGUUAAUGUUCUAGGUCCAGAUCCUUCCAUUUCUUGAUAGAACUCUAGAGGGAAAGUAUAGUGGGUGACUCAGUGACAGAUUCUGUCCUCUGGGAAAUGGGCUCGCAUCCUCUGAGGGCCUCUCUGGCAUGCGCAGUCCAGCCGUCCACAGCUUCAGGCUGGCUUUCCUUGCAGCUUCAAGAGUACAUCUUUCGAGGAAAGGAAAGAAUAACAGAAUAUAGAAGGCGUGGCUGAGGAGGCGGGCACAGCGUGCCCCCCUCAUGGUCACUUAGUCGCAUCACCUCUUUUAAUCAUGCCAGGUUAUCUGCCUUACACUCAGCCUACUCUGGCCAAAGGGAUGGAGGAGACCGUCACACCAAACGUAUCCUCCAAGUGUCUGAAAAGGAUGCUGGCUCAGCCAUGCUCUGCUGAGAGUGGAGGGCCCCACACUCCCACCCCCACCUAGUACUUGAUACUUGAAAUCUCUCGUGGAAUCAACCUGAGGAGCACGUGACAGGAUUAUUUUAAUCCCUGUUCUUUAAAGUCUUCAGUGCGACAGCAGGCGGCUGUGGCGUGUAACCCAGUAUCCCAGUGUUUACCUGUCCUGCGAACCCUUUACCGAACACGAUAAAAGACCCUGUAUUCUCUACACAAAUGACUACUUGUGUAGUUACAGAAUUUGUCAUGGGAAAGCCCAGCCUACAUCCGGGACUCCUUCACCAUAACCAGGAGCCACUUUUGGGCUAUCCCACUGGCAGCUCCUGUCCUGUUCGGGCUAAGAACAUGAUGAGUGUCCGGCUGAAGGAGGUGUGGGCUGGGUGUUGGUCAGAUUCUCUACCUGAGAGUCAAUGGCAGGCAAGCCGUGAAUGUCCCCUGUCCUAUGGUUGUGUGAUUUUUGAACUACCCGUGUGCACUGAUCUUUGGAUAUUGUUUGGCUUUUUAAGUGAGGAUCUUCCCGAUGGUAUCUAAUGUCGACAGUAUUCUUUAUUAAAUGGUGUUCUUCUUUAAGAGGCCCUUUGGGAUUUUCCCUGCAUUGUUCUGCUUCUCUCAAGCACAGGAGGAGAUCCUCGUGCCUCUUCAUUCUCUCUGGCAAGUUCUGCCGCCCUUCACCACCCGCAAGACUGUGAGACACCUGAAGUGGAAAAGGACUCUGUGGUCCCUAUGUGGCAGGGACACAGGUGGAAGGGGAAGCCAGCAUGGCUCAUCCGUGCAGGUGAAACGUACCUGUCCACCCUGCUCCCACCCCCGCUGCGUUUACAUGCUCAGCAGUUCCGUUUACAGCUCACUCCACUUUCACACUUCCUGUCUGUGUUUGAGACGGGCGGCCACUGUACAGAUAUUUAUUAUGCUUUCCAAACUUUCCCAUGAGAUUUUUUGAAUAAACAUGGAUUUUAUGAAGUGU